rnacentral:misc_RNA from 1 species
AAAAAAAAGAAAAGAAAAAAAAAAGCCACAAAAAUCGAUAGAGAUCCGUUGGUGAACAAUUAGGAAUGCCAGUUCAUAUACACUGUGUAUAUGCUGUAUUUAAAUUGAAUAUAAAUCCUUUAAGAAUCCACCAGAACAGAGAGGGAGAGACAGACAAAGAAACACUUCUCCAAAAGAACUAAAAGUAAAUUCCUUUAUUCAGAAUCCUCACCAAAACGAACGCGUAGAUGCCAAAUCCUUUAGAAAGGAAAAAGAAAAGAAAAGAAAAUAAAGAUUAAUGACAUCAUGCAUGACAUCAUAAAGCUAUAAUUAAAAUUUAAGAAAUUAUGGGAUAAAUACAAUACAAAAGGUACCAAUAAAUAUUAAAGGAUAAAAAAAAAACAAAAUAGUUAUCUUCUUCUUCAACCUCCUUGUCGCCCCAUUUCAUUCAUCUCUCCCUUCUCUCUUUCUUUCCACCAUUAACAACACCGCUAAGCUCUAACACUCCCAUUUCUUCCAUAAAUCACAUGCUAAAUUAAUAGAAAACAUUCAAUUGACACUUGAUAGAAAGAAUUGAAGCAAAAGAAACAAGAAAAAUUGAAAGGAUUUUGAGAAUUGGAAAAGCCCCAUGAAAGGUAAGCUAAUCUAACCUUCCUUUUUUGGUGUAAAUGGUUGAUUUAGGAUAGGAUUGAAUGAAAUUAAAUGAAGAAAAGUGAAAAACUAUGUAUGAUUGGUAACCUAGAGAUUUCGGCCAGCCUAGUAGUAAGUAGGAAUUGAUGGAUUUGGAUGUAAUUAAAUAUGUUGGCAAGUUUGAUUGAGUGUGUAGAUGAUGUUUAGAUAGUUUAAUUUCAUGAUUUGAAACAAUUGCAUAAUUAGGGUUCUUAAGCCUCUUGAAAAUUGAAGGAAAUGACUUUAAUUGAGGUUAGAAAUGGUCAA